rnacentral:hammerhead_ribozyme from 1 species
AUCCGGCUGAUGAGUCCCAAAUAAGACGAAGUGACCAUACUGGAU